UACGGAGGGGGCUAGCGUUGUUCGGAAUUACUGGGCGUAAAGGGCUCGUAGGCGGCCAACUAAGUCGGACGUGAAAUCCCCAGGCUCAACCUGGGAACUGCGUCUGAUACUGGAUGGCUUGAAUCCGGGAGAGGGAUGCAGAAUUCCAGGUGUAGCGGUGAAAUGCGUAGAUAUCUGGAGGAAUACCGGUGGCGAAGGCGGCAUCCUGGACCGGCAUUGACGCUGAGGAGCGAAAGCCAGGGGAGCAAACGGG
rnacentral:rRNA from 1 species